rnacentral:misc_RNA from 1 species
GAUGAAGAACGUAGCGAAAUGCGAUAAGUAAUGCGAAUUGCAGAAUCCGUGAGUCAUCGAAUCUUUGAACGCACAUUGCGCCCGUCAGUAUUCUGGCGGGCAUGCCUGUUCGAGCGUCAUUACGCCCCUCAAGUCCCCUGUGGACUUGGUGUUGGGGAUCGGCGAGGCUGGUUUUCCAGCACAGCCGUCCCUUAAAUUAAUUGGCGGUCUCGCCGUGGCCCUCCUCUGCGCAGUAGUAAAACACUCGCAACAGGAGCCCGGCGCGGUCCACUGCCGUAAAACCCCCCAACUUUUUAUAGUUGACCUCGAAUCAGGUAGGACUACCCGCUGAACUUAAGCAUAUCAAUAAGCGGAGGA